UACGGGGGGGGGCAAGCGUUGUUCGGAAUUACUGGGCGUAAAGGGCUCGUAGGCGGCCAACUAAGUCAGACGUGAAAUCCCUCGGCUUAACCGGGGAACUGCGUCUGAUACUGGAUGGCUUGAAUCCGGGAGAGGGAUGCGGAAUUCCAGGUGUAGCGGUGAAAUGCGUAGAUAUCUGGAGGAACACCGGUGGCGAAGGCGGCAUCCUGGACCGGCAUUGACGCUGAGGAGCGAAAGCCAGGGGAGCAAACG
rnacentral:rRNA from 1 species